GUCUGUUAGGUUUGGUCAAGUGCUAGGUAGCUAGCUAGUUGUUGCAAUGGAAAGGUGGGAAAAAGUUCUUAAGAAAGCCCAUAAAUGAUUGGCUGUGUGUUUUGUGGGAAGGAGAUCAAUGCAUGAAUAAUAACAGCUUUUUGGAUUAUAUAUUGGUUCUUAGGAACACAACCUAAAAGAGAUCAAACAAUCCCCAAAUUGGAUUCUGAAAACUCUGUGAAUCAAAUACGUAUAACUCGUAGUAGAAUCUCU
rnacentral:lncRNA from 1 species